rnacentral:rRNA from 1 species
CCCGCUGAACUUAAGCAUAUCAAUAAGCGGAGGAAAAGAAACUAACAAGGAUUCCCCUAGUAACUGCGAGUGAAGCGGGAAAAGCUCAAAUUUAAAAUCUGGUGGUCUUUGGCCAUCCGAGUUGUAAUUUAGAGAAGCGUCUUCCGCGCUGGACCAUGCAUAAGUCUCCUGGAAUGGAGCGUCAUAGAGGGUGAGAAUCCCGUCUUUGGCAUGGACCCCCAGGGCUUCUGUGAUGCGCUCUCAAAGAGUCGAGUUGUUUGGGAAUGCAGCUCAAAAUGGGUGGUGAACUCCAUCUAAAGCUAAAUAUUGGCGAGAGACCGAUAGCGAACAAGUACCGUGAGGGAAAGAUGAAAAGCACUUUGGAAAGAGAGUGAAACAGUAUGUGAAAUUGCUGAAAGGGAAACGCUUGAAGUCAGUCACGCCGUUCGGGAUUCAGCCUGGCUUCUGCCUGGUUUACUUCCCGUCGGGCGGGUCAACAUCAGUUUUGGUCGGAGGAGAAAGGCUUGUGGAAGGUAGCAGCUUGCUGUGUUAUAGCCACUUGUUGUAUACUUCGACUGGGACUGAGGACCGCAGCACGCCUUUGGCCGGGGUUAUACCCACGUACGUGCUUAGGAUGUUGGCAUAAUGGCUUUAAGCGACCCGUCUUGAAACACGG